GUCAGAGUGCCCGAGCUGGUCUAAGGGGUGGCACUCAAGUUGCCAUAGACUUCUGUCUGCGCGAGUUCGAAUCUCGUCUCUGACA